UUUUGGAGCAUGAGACCUGACGCCACGUUAGAUCCUUCAAGUUUGCAUGGCGGUUGUCCUGUAAUCACAGGAAACAAAUGGUCAUCUACAAAGUGGAUGCAUCUCAAUGAGUACAAAGUCUGAGCUAUUAUCUGUAAAGGACUUAAAAGACAUCAGAGUUUGUGUGGUUAAUGGAACAUUCUGGUGUGCCCCUCCGAACUACCAUUUAAACAUCAUCAUUACAACUGAGGUGACAUGAUUCUGUAUAUGACGGGUUUUUGUAUCUUUACACCUGCCAUUUAGGUAGAAAGAAGCCCAUCGUUCACUUGGAAGAUAAAAUGUGGUUCAGAGGAUGUGAUCUUCUACUUAGAAAAUUAUUAGCAAAAUAGGAAUUAGGUUGUUGCAAGUGAUGUCUUGACAGAUUAGUAUAAACAAGCCAAAUAAAUUCUGAACCACAUUAUAUAUACUUACUUUACUUAGGAACAUGCGCAUACUUCAUGUUUAUGAUACUACACGUUGCCUUGGAGUCGUUUGAUUUAUUUGGGAUCAAAGCGACCUGCACUAUCCUCUAUGUUCAACAAAGCUACGGGCACCGAAAAUUUUGUACCAAAAAUGUGUACCGACCUACGUGUACCCCUGACUCACACCAACAGUCCAGACGUCUGAUUUUCCUAUAAAUAUUUUUCUAGUGAACGACCGUCCAUCAAAUAUGGACGACCGUUCACUCACAUAGGCCCCCAUCCAUAUUAUAUGGACGGAGGUCCAUAUAUGACGGACGAGCGUCCCCAUUUAAAGGACGCUUGUCUAUGAAUAAAAUACAAUAAAAAAAUUUUAUAAACAUUAGGGACAGCCGUUCAUCUGUUAUGGACGAUCGUUCCUUCAUUUUGGACGGGCGCCCGCAAAUAUGAGACGUCCGUUCUUAACCAAAAUAUGAAAAUAAAAAAUAAAAAACUUUGGAGACAAUCGUUCAUAAAUUUUGGACG